CAUAGGAGGAGCACUAAAAUUGGUUGGCUUUCAGUUCUACAGAAAAGAAAAAGGAGAUACGUGUAGAAUGUGCCAAUAUACGAUUUGUCAUCUUUAUUUAUCAGGGUGAAGCAAAUGAAGGAAGAUUUAAAGAAACCCUGUAUUCAGAUCAAUGUUUGUUUUCAUGUUCAGGUACUUACCACAAAAUGUGGCUAAAAUGACAGAAUCUACCCAAUUCAGGCACUGUUUACCUUGGAAGCACUUCAUGUGGUAUGCCUCCACCUGCUUGCAAGGCUUCUACAUGAAAUGAAUUUAUUUUAUCACUUCUUAUGAUCCUUCCUUUAUUUUACAAUACCUAGCUGUAGUCCUUGGCACCUCCAGGUCUCAACAAAUCGUAGGACAUUUCAGAAGGGGACACAGACAGCAAGCACUGCUACAAGGGCAAAGUUUGUCCCGUCUCUACCCGCUCACUCGAGACCAAAAGGGAAAUAGAGGGGGAAAAAAGAGGACAAAAGAAAAUCCUGGAAUUAUCUGAGACAGGAAUUCAUUUCAGGUCUGCCUGCCUGCCUACCUUUUAUUCCUUCAACAACCAGUUGUUUCAUCCUCAGUUGUACAAUUCACAGAUUAAGCCAGCAUUUACCACAGUAAAUGAGCUUGCCACCAUUGCAACUGAGAAAGAUCGUGCUGCAAAUCUCAGCUGCUGCAGCUGACCACCAGCACUUUCUGUGUUCUCUACCACCUCUGCUAUGAGAGCAGCAAAUUCCUACAAAAAAUGGAGACCCAGAGAAGGCCUCCAGCACAUGGACAGCUACUUGAAACACAGGAGCCUGAGCAUGCCCUCCUAAUAGUACUGAGAAACUACUACAAUUGAACAUCUGUGUGGAAUGACCAGAUGCCAUUUAAAAGACCUACUCACAAUAUGGGAUGGCAGAAACACAGAAAAACAUCUGGGCCAUCAGUUUUACUAGGGAUGUGUUGCAUGCUAAUCUGAAAAUGCAGCUUGGAAAAUCACUACAGGAAGAUGAUGCCUCGGCAAAACUGCAAAAUUUGACUGGCAGCUGCCAUAUUCAUCUUGUAGAAAACCUGCAAUUGUGUAUGAAUGUUUAGAAACUGACCAUACAACUGAAUGUGUCGACUUCUUCUAUUUGUAUCAGAGAAAGUGGACAUAAGAGUUAUCUCAUUGAUACCACUUCCAAAUAAAAUUAAUUUCCUUGUAACACAGGAUCAAAGGAAGCAAAAACUAGAAAUAUCAGCAUCCUACAGAAAGCUUGAGUCUGAGAAGGGUGAUACAUCCACAGUGCUGAAACCACAUCACCUAAAAACCACAAUUGCCUACUAAUUGCACAGUUUAUAUAUUAUUUAGAAAGCAUUUGACAUUUGACUUUCCACCUCACAUGCUUAAGAUGCAGAGAUUCAACAAGCACAUACACUGACAUAAGUAGUAAAGAUAAAAUAUUUCUAUUUAUUUAUGGAUAAAAUAUUUCUAUGAAAAAGAAAAAAAAGCUGACAAUCUUACUUACAGUUGUACAUGGAUAGAAAAAAAAAUCAGGAAAGCAAUUUCAGGAGCACUAGCAGUGGAAUAACACAGGGGAGGCUAGACAACUUAAAGAUCAGACAGAUGAUGGGUAGAUGAUGGGCAAGGCCACAAAGAUACCAUCUAAGAAAGCACCUGGAAACUUUGAUAUGACAUCGGUAUGAGUCAUGCAUGAAUAUGUAGAUGUACUUACCGAAGUUAUAGUGAGCAGUGAUUGAAUAAAUUUGUUAGCUAAUUCUCUUAAUACAUGAGGAUAAAUGAAAUAUUUAACGUGGAGUCUUAGAUGUGAUAACCAAUGGUUAUUUUCAGUGGACCUUCUAGCUCCUUAUUGUUCCUUCUACUUUUCAUUUAGCAAGGCUAUUUUCUCACCCAUUUUUGAGUUGCCAUUAAUUUCAUCCCCUCAUCUGUUAAUGGACUUUCUUUCUCUUUAGUAGUUACUUCCCUAGCCAUAAAAGCCUUUUUAAUCCUCCCGAGCCCCUUUUAUUCAUUCUGAGCUUGAUUGUAAUGCUACACUCUGCCCUGGCUAAGUAGCUAUGUUGCCCCAGGAGCGGGCUAGAGAAUUAAGUAAGACUUGGAGCUCUGGUCUCUCCCUGUGCUCUACUUCAGGAGUCAAGGAUGGGCUGUGGCAGUGUGACUUCCAGUAAAACCAGUAACCCUAGCUGACAAACCAGAAGGAAAAGCAUUUUGCAGAUACUGUGACUUCUGUCCCUGCUGACCUGCUUGCAGGCAGUGGGUCCUGCACUCCAUGACAAAGCUUUUGCUGCGCAAGAGAGCAACAUGCAGCAGGUAAUGUAAUAUUUUGCUCUCUCCAUUAGUCUUAGCUUCAGCUUCUUAAUUUUUCAUAGGCUUGAGGUAGACAAGGAGAUCUCGAAGCAGUGCUGGCCAGCAGGCUCAGAAGCACUGUCAAAAUGUCAUGGACAGCCAGCCUGGGUAGGGAAACAGCAUCAUGUCUUGGUGCAGAAUCAGUGGAGCAACACCUGGGACAGUUCAGCCUUCCUUUUUUUGGUUCCCUACAUCAGCUUUCUCUAGCUCACUCUGGGUAUUUUCAGCCUGGUUUUCUAAGGAAAUAGUCCUUACACCGUUCUACUGCAUGCGUUUGUGUAUACUUCUGUCUUCCUACCUCUUAGUUAUGUCUUCUCUCCCUUUUUAUCCUUCCCUCUCCUGCAUAACUUUUAGCCUAUUUUUCUAACCCAAUCACAUAGAAAUAGAGAUCCCAAAGGUGCUAGCUAAACAGGAGGUCAGGUAAGGAAAAUUAUUCCUAUGAAUGUCAUCUCUCAGGAAAAUAAUGCAACCUGUGCUUAUCCCCCACUAGGAACUAGAGAGUACACAGCUCCGUGAAGUUUUACCUCUCAUUGUGUUCUCUAAAGUCUAAUCACGGAAAACUUCUGGCUGAAGCAUUUCCAAUGCUGGGUCACUUAUAUAUGUACCUUCUUUAACGAUGAGUAAGCUCAUGCUUGUGCUCCUUAAAACCUCAGAUAUUUGAGUAAUAGUUCAUCAAGCCAGUGUUUAAGUUUUGCAUUAAUCCCAAUUUUGUUUUUCACAGGAACACUCUGCAGCAUAUACAUUAAUUCAAACAACAUUCUGCUUUUUUUUUUUUUUUUUAGGUUUCCCUUGUCAUCCUUAGUAUGUUUGUCUCCAUGAAAUCAGAAACCCUUUAAUUUCUGCCUCACUGUUUUGUUUUUGUAUAGCUCCUGAUUGCUCUUUCUUUAUUUUUCUCUAAGAACUAACAUGGUUUCUUGUUCUUGGUAGUAAAAGUUUGUGACUUGAGACCCUCCUUAAUACAUGUGCGAUUGUAUUUGUUAUCCAACAGAGAUAUGAGAGGUCAGGAUUUCUCCAUAAUGGUUUUUACAGGCUUGAGAAAUAAUUAUCCUUCCUUGGGUAUGUAUGCUUUGUAGUCAGACCUGUUCUUCCCUCUAGGCUUGCUCUGUGUGCGUCAUUGCACACUCUCUGUGGGGCAGGAGGGUUGCCAUAUGUGGCUAGCAGUCUGCCUUGUAUAAAAUCCAGACGGUAUUGCCAUAAAAACCUAAAGCACUGUCCACACAGCUGAAUGAAACUUGGAGGGGAAAUCAGUGGGAACAGUUAAACUGUAGAAAGAAAGAGAAGAAACUAGUCAAAUAUUAUCUCCAUGGUUAUUACCAACCAAAAAUUAUGUUAUGAAAAUGCAUCAGAAUAUUUGUGUAAUAUAUGAAGACAUGGGAUAAAAUUCCUGCCUUGUGUUUCAUUGGUUAUUUCUACAUUUUUGCCUUCCACCUUCUGAUGGUGACAGUCCUGAAUCCUCCUGUGAAAUAAACAGUGGUUAUGACAUCUGAA